rnacentral:rRNA from 1 species
AUGAACGCUGGCGGCGUGCUUCACACAUGCAAGUCGCACGGAAAGGCUCCUGCUUGCAGGGGUACUCGAGUGGCGAACGGGUGAGUAACACGUGGGUGAUCUGCCCUGCACUUCGGGAUAAGCCUGGGAAACUGGGUCUAAUACCGGAUAGGACCACAUUUUGGAUGGUGUGGUGGAAAGUUUUUCGGUGUGGGAUGAGCUCGCGGCCUAUCAGCUUGUUGGUGGGGUAAUGGCCUACCAAGGCGUCGACGGGUAGCCGGCCUGAGAGGGUGUACGGCCACAUUGGGACUGAGAUACGGCCCAGACUCCUACGGGAGGCAGCAGUGGGGAAUAUUGCACAAUGGGCGCAAGCCUGAUGCAGCGACGCCGCGUGGGGGAUGACGGCCUUCGGGUUGUAAACUCCUUUCGCUAGGGACGAAGCGCAAGUGACGGUACCUGGAGAAGAAGCACCGGCUAACUACGUG